UGCAAUUAGACAACCCUCUAGUAAUUUGUGUGGAUCAUGGCGCAUAAUUUCUCUAUCUUUACAAGUUCCAGGUUCACUUUCAUCAGCAUUAACAACAAGGUAUGAAGGACGACCAUCAGAAACCUUUGGCAUGAAGGACCAUUUAAGACCAGAAGCAAAUCCAGCACCACCACGUCCACGAAGUCCAGAUUUCUUGAUUUCAUUGACAAUCCAAUCAGUUCCCUUGAGUACUAGGUCUUUUGUUCUAUACCAAUCUCCUCGUUUCAUGGCACCUUUAAGAAAUGGGUCAUGCAACCCAUAAACAUUUGUGAAAAUACGAUCCUCAUCUUUCAAG
rnacentral:lncRNA from 1 species